CAAGUUGCCGAACCACGUAAAUUUAUGUGUGUUUGAAUGUUUGGAUCUCCUAACAAUUUACUAUGGCAAUUUUUUCCAUAUCACCCUCCAAUUGUCCAUGUCGUGUUGGAAUACUUCAAUUCACUCCACUGCUGCUGCUAUCAAUUUCGAUCUAUGCUAUGAAGUAUGAACAUGGCUGGCUAGAGGAUUUGUGGUUGUAUUAACAAAUUGGCAGGUUAUUUGUUUGGCCUAGCUGUUUAGUGAAGGAGAUGCCAGGGGAAAUUAUGAGGGUGGUCUUGACAUCCUGACUGCUAGAGAAGCCAUCUUUAUAUGGCAGCAAAAUAGCUCCAUUUUAGACAUGCUAGGAUUCCUGCAGACAUUUGCAACUACCUUUUCCUCUUCAGUGUAUUCACAGAAUGAUGAGUUACACCAUAUAAGCUAACAAAUGGUGCCACUGUUGUUGAAUUUUUUUUCCCUAUGUUCUGGACAUGCAAUUGAUUGGAAACUUAUUGGAAAUUUUGUGUGACAAGUGCCAAACAAAAUUCAGAAGGGAUGGCUCACUUGCUAAUCUAAAUUCAUGAAAUGUUAAAAACAACUCAGCUUGAUCUAUACAACCUGGGAAGGUUAGCUUGGGUGGUGAUGGGCAGUAAGUUUUCUUAGUUGGAAAAUGAUUUCUUUCAAACUUCCUUCAUAGAUUUCUAUCCAGUUUAAAAACCUUACUGGGAUCUCAGCCAAAUGCUUAGAAAUUCGAUUUCACUUCACAGUGUCAAACAACUGCCAACACUUGCUUUAUAAACUAUUAUGGCUUGAUAUGAUUUGCAACUCAUGUUUGUUUGUUUUUUUAUCUUAAACUAUCGACUUCUUUGCUGGUAUCAUGUUUGCUUUUAGGCAGGCUGGUUCGCUACAGUUACAGUUCACACCACUUUUUUGUGCUUAGCAGCUGUUUGUUUGUUGCCUUUUUUACCUGGGCAUCUUCGCUUGCAUUUUUCCCUGCUGUUCUGCUCGCUUCGUAACAUUGUCGCUGAGGCUGCGUCCAUAGUUUGGCAUUGCUGUCUCCUCAGUCUUCAGUCAUUUGUUAGUUUUUAAUUUGUUCAAUUUCGAGUCUGUUUCCUAUUUGUUUUUUUCUUUGCUUCUUUGGCCGCCUUCACACUUUGAGCCUUGUGUUUUUGGUGUUUUGGGGUUGCUGUUUCUGUCCUUUUUAAUUUUCUAGGUUUCCAGUUAAAAGAUCAUCGUUGUGUCCUGUGUAUCCAUUGCAUCCUUCGGCUCUUUGCUGUUCAUUUGGCUGACAUUCCUAGCUGUUUUCUCCUUGCCUUCAAUCCAUUGGCGCAAGCGCAACAUUAAAGCCAAACACAUUGAUAUAAGAAAAACGAAGCUGGUUCCCAAGCAUGACGCUACACGAAGCAGCACUGGUGCCAAGUCAACAGCGGACAGCUGUGGUAGACGUUCACGGUUUCAAAAGAGGACUCGCACAAAGGCAUCCUUCCUAGCAAAGGCCCCUCUCUCUUUUUCUUAUUUUCCUUUCCUGCAUGUUAGAUUGCUGCUCAAUAUUGCUGUUUUUAUCUUGGGUCAUCUUCUGUUGUUGUUACAACAUUUCUUUCCUUCAGUGCUGCGCAUAUGGCCAUGUUUGCUGUUUUGACAUGUGCUGCUGCCCGCGCAAUAUUAUUCCAAUGCAAUUGCUCCUCAUUGCAAUUAUUUCUCUCUCUUGGUUUUCUGAGCUACAGGUUCGGCUAGCAAUGGCAGCCAUUUGGGAUGCUUUUUGCGAUGGAUUUGAUAUCUUUGAGAGGUGUCUUAUGUUAUGAAUGAUG